UACGAAAGGUCCAAGCGUUACUCGGAAUUACUGGGCGUAAAGCGCGCGUAGGCGGCUUUGUAUGUCGAUUGUGAAAGCCCCGGGCUCAACCUGGGAACUGCAGUCGAAACUGCAAAGCUUGAAUGUUGGAGAGGUUGGGGGAAUACCUAGUGGAGAAGUGAAAUUCGUAGAGAUUAGGUGGAACACCAGAGGCGAAGGCGCCUGACUGGCCAAACAUUGACGCUGAGGCGCGAAAAGCGUGGGUAGCAAACAGG
rnacentral:rRNA from 1 species